AUGGCCACCGGUGAGGACCUCACAGGGCUCGCUCGAAGUUGCUACGACUUCGUCGAAGAUGAGCGGUUGACGGAGAUUUCAGUUCAGCGGCAGCGAGGAGGUCGCGUGGUGGUUGAUAUAGCUCCGACGGUGGAGGUUACGGAUGGUGGCGGUGGAAUGAAGUACAAAGAAAAGAUAAUGAAGCAACAAUUGUUUUUUUUAUUUUUGUACUGUCAUUAUUUUCUCUCCCUCUCAUACUUGUUUUUUGGGUUUUAUAAUCUUUCAAAAUUUAUGAAUUAG